rnacentral:rRNA from 1 species
CCUUUCGGGUUGUAUGGUUAA